rfam:Ovis aries breed Texel chromosome 12, whole genome shotgun sequence.
UGGCUCAGAUGGUAAAGCAUCUGCCUAUAAUGCAGGAGACCCGGGUUCAAUCCCUGG